rnacentral:lncRNA from 1 species
GCCUGCCCCUCCUCUCUUCGAGCGUUUGCGGAGAAGCCUUCGGUUUCAUUUCCCUGCUCCGGCACCGGUGGCGGCCCGCGCGUCCUGCGGGGGCCCCCCGAGCCGGAUCAUCGCGGUUUAGAGCGCCCUUCCCCGGGGUCCCCCAGGGUCUCGGAGGGGCAGCCCCGGAGCCGGCUAAAAAUAAAGCCUUUCCUCCCCUGCACCCUCCCCCACCCCUUCCUGCCGAAGAACUAAAUUCCGCGGAAACCUCAUUUCUGCAUUCUGCAUUCACAUCCUUAAGACAUUCCGGGGCUGGGACAACGAGGCCACUUUCUGCGGGAACAAAAACGGCUGUUGUGACUUGGGGAGGGGAGUGCCGCGGCCUCUCGGAUUAGGGCGGUGUGUGCGCGGGGUGAGCGUUAAUAGGGACUGCUGGUGUAAGACGAGCAAAUCCUGUUUCUAUAUAAAGCCUUGAAGUGUCAGGGCGAGAAUGGGUUUGCAGGGGAUGCAUUUGCUUUAACAAGUGCCUCUGGUAUCCUGCUAAAGCCGGACAAAGCGUGGCCAGAUCGUGGCCCAGCCUCUCGGCCUGCGGGAGGGCAGCGCCGGCGCCGGCUCGGCUGGGGGCGGCGCGGGGGCCGCCGCCGGAUUUCGGUGCAGGCGAGUUCGCCGCAGAUUUGCUCCAAGAGGAGAGAGCUGGGGCCUCCCUGCACUCCAGACCUCUCCCGGGAGAGAGCUGUUCCUUGGCNNNNNNNNNNNNNNNNNNNNNNNNNNNNNNNNNNNNNNNNNNNNNNNNNNNNNNNNNNNNNNNNNNNNNNNNNNNNNNNNNNNNNNNNNNNNNNNNNNNNNNNNNNNNNNNNCCUCGCCGAGACCCUGGAGGUCACUGGCCAGCGCCGGCUGAGCUUGCAGGAAGCCUGAGUGGCUGCGCGUUUGGGGACCCGCUGGUCACCCUGGAAGAUGCAGGCACCACCAGGCCAGGUGGGAACAGGGUCUGGGUGACCCGAAGCAUUGUCUGGCUCAUUCCAAGUUUGACCAUGUGGUUCUUGGAUCGUAGGCCAUGGAGGGACUGGAGAAAUCAGCGCUACUGCCUGGAGCGAUUGGGGAUCGUGCCUCUCCUCGGAGGGAGCCCGUCUAGCAGGAGGCAGCCCUGCCCGGGAGAAGCCGGGUCCCCGCCCCCUCUUCCAGCCGUCAGCUACAGCUACUGCCCUUCAUCCUUCUCUGUGUGUUGCCCUUGGGGCCAAAGGAGAAUCACUGGGUCUCCACCCAAGCAAGGCGGAGGUUUCGGCAAUGUGACUGCGGGUGGGUUCUCCUCUCCACCCCUUCUCUUGGCUUCUUUGGCGUGUAAAUGGUCCGGCCUGGAAGCCAGGUGCCCUGGGCCUGUGGUUGUUGUUGGGAGUAUACAGGGCGGCAGGUUCCUUCUGGUGGGAGAACCACAAACUUCUCUCCGCUAAAAGUGCUUCUGAUCCUCAAUCUCAAAAAGAAAAACGCAGUGGGGGGUGGGGUGGGGAAGAUAAUUUCCUGGUGUGAAAAGACCCCAUCAAAGGAUCCCCCUCCUUUCUCUCGUGAUAUUUUUUCGUAUAGGAAAAAAGAUACAAUUUCGUAAAUACCUCAUUAACUCAAUGACACGAUGGAGUGUUUCGGCAACCGUUACCAACAUUAAGUAGGUGUGAAAAGAGUUACUUUCCGAAGACUCUACCCGUCCUGCUCUGUAAGUGGCAGAAGCAAACAUCAAAGCCACGGCUGCCCUGUGGAGCCCAGAAUCCGGCGGCCGCGUGGACUGGCCAGGCUGCGGCCGCCUCACCCACCCCAACGAAGCCAUUUUUGGAAUGUGGGUUUUUUCUCAGUGGGGCUUGUACUGCCCCCAUGUCUGAUUAUUCCUACAGGGAUAUUCCUAUAGGAAUAUCCAGGUCACGUGAGCACUAAAGCAAAUUAGCCAUAGAGGCAGGGAGUGGCCUUGUGCGGAUCCCAAAUCACCCCCAAAUGCUCCCGUUUAUUCUUAGAAAUCUCCCUCGUCUGCUGUGAGACUGGGUUCAACAGCCCGCACAGACAGGACAAAACGCACAGGAGGCUGUUAGAAUAACAUGGAGGGAGCUAAAAAUACCCCUCAGAAACACACAUAAAAAAGCCAAAUCCAACAACAGAACGAGCUAAAAAUAUUCCAGGCUUUGGCAAAGAGCACAGAGUUAAAUAAAUUAUACAAGAGCCAUUCAUGGGAGCAAGUUGACUUUCUCUCUUACGGGAACUUGGUUCAAGCUAAUAAAAAUAAUAAUUUACUGGCCACUGAGCUUUGCUUGAGUUUAGAUUUAAUUGGUGGGGCUUCUGGCAUUUGUCACUUCUUGGCGAUUAGUGGGCUUGCCCUGGCCUGGAGUGGGAUGGGGAGGGGGUACUGAGUCUGGGUCCCUGGAAGCAGGGGCAGGGUUCUCCGCCCCCCACCCCACCAGAGGAGCAGGGCCUGGGUACAAGGGCAGGAUGCCCAGGAGGCCGGAGAAGGAGGGAGGCUGCAGGGGAGUGGUCAGGGAAGGCAGAAAAGGGACAGGCAAGGCGCCGCUAUUUUAAUUUGAUAAAUGAUCGUACACCUUUAAGAGUGUGUUUUAACAAUCAAGAUACACUCCAGCAAGUUGAUAGGAUGUUCGCUGUCAACUUACAUAUGUCAUCAGCGCGGGCUGUGAGCAUAAAUAAUGUGCGAGAGUGUGCGGGAUGCGCUGCAGCCUCUCCGGGAGGCCGGCAGGUAGCACCCCUGUCUCUCCUGCGGUCUGGAGGCAGCUGCCAGAGGAGGAAAGGCGUUGGGGAAUUCAGGCCGGGUCUUUCCUCUCUGGGGAGUUCCCAGAUCUCCUCACCAAAAUAAGAGCUCCAGACAGUUUGUUCAGGGAAACCACUGAGGGCGUGAUCUGAGGCUGGAAUCCAAUAUUGGCUGGUGUCUUUUCAGGGCAGAUGUCUUAAGUUCAGCCAUUUCCCAGGAAUGUCAGACUUCCACCUUGGGAUUAGGGUCAGAGUAACCUCCUUUGCUGUCUCUGCUUAUUUGCUUGCUCUUGAUGGGAUGCCCACCCCACCCUCCGAAAUCCCAGCAGGCCCUCUCAACUCCCAAAGGACUACACUUCCCAGAAUGCCCCUGGUCUAGCUCCAGAGUCUGAGCCUGGGACCGGCCCUAAACUGGGAAUUCCCAAGCUCAAAUAGAGUUCAGCCAGUACCACUGGGAAUGUGUGCUUUCUGGGUGGAAAGAGGCCUUGGUCACCACCCCCAGGGUCCCCUUGCCCUUUCUUCUGAAAGAGGCCUCUGGGCCCCCCCCCCCCCCCCGCCCCCNNNNNNNNNNNNNNNNNNNNNNNNNNNNNNNNNNNNNNNNNNNNNNNNNNNNNNNNNNNNNNNNNNNNNNNNNNNNNNNNNNNNNNNNNNNNNNNNNNNGCCCUUUCUUCUGAAAGAGGCCUCUGGGCCCCCCACCCCCGCCUGCCCUCUUCCCUACCAUAAAUAUCUAGGCCCCCAAAGAUAAGCGCUGCCCCUCUAUCCCAGGGACUUUGUGCAGCAGGGCCGGCAGCUGCCUUGAUUGGCGUGGCCAGAGUCUCAGGGGGAUUCCCACCAGUUGCCCUGAUCUCAGCCCUUUGCACAGGGCUUUCUCAGAGGGGCCCUGGACACUCUGGCCAGAGGUCAGCAUGGAAGGGAUUUGGGGACUCCACCUGGGUGGCCUCAGGGCUGAUCUCUGCUUAGAGAGUCCAACAAGAAAAUCCUGCGCAGCCUCUGGAGCAUCGCCCCUCUUCCCAGCCUCACGUCACCAGGCAGCAGUAGCCCUGUCAAUGCCAUAUUGACUAGCAUCCGCCUUGGAUGACUUCUGAUGACUAGAAACCAUCCCCCCAGGGCGGAGGUGCUGCCUUAGCCCCUCGGAAGGGGGCCCGUCAUCACCCAUCCAAAGUUCUCACUCGGGCCACUACCAAGCGGCCUCUUGGAAAGGUGGGCGCCCCUUGGAAAGGCCAUCCUUGGAGGUCUUUGCUGGGCCUUGUGCCAGAGCUCUCAAGCUGAUGCCAGGGCUUCAGGGUGUGGCACCUGCCCUGUUUGGCAGUAGGUGCCUCGCACAGCUGGGCUCCACCUGCCUCACCUGCCAGGGGACGGCUCCCCCGGGGUUCCUUGGUCCCUAUUAGCCUCUGGGGCCUUCUUUCUCCCACCAAAGGUUCAGGAUUAAAAGCAAACAACAAGAUCACAACCAGCAUGCACUGUCUAGAACACAUCCCUGCAGCUCCGGGCUGUGCCAAGGAAGGUUCGGGCCUUGCAGCCUGUGCUCCGGGGCUGCUGCUCCAUCUCGGCUUUGACGCCCUGCCCGCUGACGUUUUUAUGGGAUAAUAUACCGUUUAGAUCACGCAGGCCUAUUUGUCAGUGGGCCGCCCCUGUUUGUUGUAAUAUAUAAUAUUACUGCCUCCCGUGGCCCUGCCAGCAGCUGCCACCAGAGGAUGGGGACCAGUCGGGAACUGGGUGUGGGAUUGGAAAGGGGAGGGCGCAGGGUGGGAGUUGCCCCAGCCCCACAUAGGGGCUUGGAGUGGGUUUGCAGCAGGCCUAGGGCCUGGCGGGGAGGCAUCCAGUGCCCAAGCAGGGAGCCAGCCGGGCUGGCAUCCGAGGGCUGCUGCAGCUGUCCAGACGAUUAGGUUCCAGAUUGGAUAAGCCAGGANNNNNNNNNNNNNNNNNNNNNNNNNNNNNNNNNNNNNNNNNNNNNNNNNNNNNNNNNNNNNNNNNNNNNNNNNNNNNNNNUGCCCCCUCACUCCCUCCCCAGGGCCCCCAACAAAGAGUCCAGUGUCUUUAGAUCCAAAGAUGUUUGACACUGGGGAAGGGGGACCCACUGUGUGCCUGGAACAGAAGGGAAAGUUACAGCAGUCCUGUUCCAUCCAAGUGCAGGGACUUGGUUUCCAGUAGAAAUUACCAGAAAUGCAGGGGAGGGGCAGAGGAUGCCUGUGCUGCCGAGAGAGGCCCCUGCGCGGCAGACUGGGGUCCCCCAGGGUGGCCUGGGGCUGUCUUCUUGGGGCACCCCGCCAAGUGAGAGAGAAUCAUCAGCCACAUUUAAGUGGUGGUUUAUGGACUAAACCACCCUCUGCCGUCUCCUUGAGAAGAGGCAGUCUUGGCUCUAUCCCUGUGCUCCUCCUUCAGGGAAGCCAGGGCCUCUCUUCCUUGGGACUUUGUUCUCAAAGGCAGCUCUGGGGAGGACACCAUGGCCCUAAUAUCACACAGCCAGGCCAGGGAGGGCCCCCUCCCCUCAAGGCAGGUGUGCUGGGAGCCCAGCUGGAUGGGGGUGAAAAGAAGGCAGGUUGGGGACAGUGGGAUGAGACCCUAGGGGUGGGACCCAGGGUGGGGAUGUGCUGAUGGGGGUGGGGAAGGAGCUGCACUUCCAGGCUGCUCUCCACCAGCAUCUCAGGGUGGCUCCAUGUGGCAGGCUCCAACUUAGCACCAGCCUUGCUGCCUGGCCCUGCUUGUGUCCCCUUUGGGGGCAGAGGCACAGACCCUGUCGUCGUCCCCACAGGCUCGCCAGCACAUUAACUGGCCGAGCUCACACAUGCAUGGACACUCAGCACGCCUGAUCACGUGUGCUCAUACCCUGAGGUAUGUCCUUACACUCACAUGUGCUCACACUCAUACACAGACACAAUGGGCCUUCAAGGAAUCACAUCCCAGUUGGCCUGGGAGGUAGCCAGUGGGCCCAGUGAUCAGAAUGUGUGUUCUGGUCUGUCUCCACUUCCCACCUCCUGCUCCAUCCUGCAGCUCCUGGCCAGCUGCCGGAGGUGGAGCCUAAAGGUCCCCAGUGACCUUGGUUGACAGACUCAGAGCCCGACAUGCCGGGGUUGGUGCUGGUGAGCUGCCUGCCCUUGCUUCAGCCCCCUCCUUCCCUCUGUUACCAUGGAACCCAUCUUUUGGUUUCCACUGAACUGGAGCUGGUCCUAUCCCAGCACCUGCCCCAGGCUUCUUCCAGUGAAUCUGUUCAGUUCAUUUCUGUCACUCAGUCAUGUCCGAUUCUUUGCCACCCCAUGGACUGCAGCACACCAGGCUUCCCUGUCUAUCACC